rnacentral:rRNA from 1 species
AUUGAACGCUGGCGGCAUGCCUUACACAUGCAAGUCGAACGGCAGCACGGGAGCAAUCCUGGUGGCGAGUGGCGAACGGGUGAGUAAUAUAUCGGAACGUGCCCAGUCGUGGGGGAUAACGUAGCGAAAGCUACGCUAAUACCGCAUACGAUCUACGGAUGAAAGCGGGGGAUCGCAAGACCUCGCGCGAUUGGAGCGUCCGAUAUCAGAUUAGCUAGUUGGUGGGGUAAAAGCUCACCAAGGCGACGAUCUGUAGCUGGUCUGAGAGGACGACCAGCCACACUGGAACUGAGACACGGUCCAGACUCCUACGGGAGGCAGCAGUGGGGAAUUUUGGACAAUGGGGGAAACCCUGAUCCAGCCAUGCCGCGUGCAGGAUGAAGGCCUUCGGGUUGUAAACUGCUUUUGUACGGAACGAAAAGGUCUUUUACUAAUAAAGAAGGCUCAUGACGGUACCGUAAGAAUAAGCACGGCUAACUACGUGCCAGCAGCCGAC